UGGUUUAAUCAGUUUGAUGAGAAAUUAAGCAAGAAGCAAUGAGAAUGAAAUUAGAAACAGAAUGGCUGUUUUGGUAAAUCCAAGCUUAUCAGCAGGCCGAAGAAGCUUGGUCCCCAGCUGGAAUCACUCACAGACAAACUUCAAUUUCAUGACACCUCAAAAACAACAAUCACCAAUUCAAUAGAAACAAAGUUAUAGAAUCAAGCUCUGCCAUCGCACAAAACAUAUCUCUCAAAAAUAGAUGAGGAUGAACCUAAGUAGAUGUGUUUGACAAGGAAACUACUCAUAUCACUCUACAAUUCAUAAUCCAUUCAUACACAGACACACACAUCAACACAUAAACAACAAAACCACAGAAAUAUUAAUUUAUAAAAUCUAAUUUCUGGGAUCAACACUAAAUUUCCCUGUUUCCGAUCCCCACCACACUCACGAAAUCAUGAUUUGAAAAUUAAAUUAGGUUUUGAGUGAACUCACAAGGUCACAAUAAUUGCUUUCAGGUUCGAACGAGAGAGAACUUGCCCUUUGUGCAGAGCACUGAUUCGACCUGCGACUGAUCUUCAAUCGUAUGGGGAUGGAUCGACGGCGGGGAGAAGAUGGCGGAGAUCGACGGCGUGGAUCAGAGCGGAGGCGCGGUUCUGAAACGACGAUGGGGAGAUCGACGGCGAGGAUUGGGGGCGGAGCUACUGUUGUGUUUGUGUUUGAUCUACGUUAGAAAAAAACUAAAAUCUUGAAAAUUUAAUAAGCAUUAAUGACUACUUCACUAUGGAAAGUUAAUUUAAUAAAUAAAAUAAAAAAAAUCAAUAAAUUUUAACGACUGUUUACCUACAGAAAAUUAAUUUUAAUAAAUAAAAUAAAAUAUUUAAUAAAUUUUAACGAUUGUUUAACUACGAAAGGUUAAGUUUAAUAAAUAAAAUAAAAAAUUCAAUAAAUUUUAACGACUAUUUAACUACGAAAAAUUAAUUUUAAUAAAUAAAAUAAAAAAUUCAAUAAAUUAACAAGGGAAA
rnacentral:lncRNA from 1 species